CCUACGGGUGGCAGCAGUAAGGAAUAUUGGUCAAUGGACGAAAGUCUGAACCAGCCAUCCCGCGUGCAGGAUGAAAGCCCUAUGGGUUGUAAACUGCUUUUAGCAGAGAAGAAAAGCUUCCAUUUAUGGGGGUCUGACGGUAUCUGCAGAAUAAGCACCGGCUAACUCCGUGCCAGCAGCCGCGGUAAUACGGAGGGUGCGGGCGUUAUCCGGAAUUAAGGGGGCGUAGGGGGAGUAAUAAGGCAGAUUAGAAAUCUUGUCGCUUAACGAUAAAAUUGCCAAUGAUACUGGUAAUCUUGAAUGGGGUUGAGGUUAGCGGAAUGUGACAUGUAGCGGUGAAAUGCAUAGAUAUGUCAUGGAACACCAAUUGCGAAGGCAGCUAACUGGGCCUUGAUUGACGCUGAGGCACGAAAGCGUGGGUAGCGAACAGGAUUAGAUACCCUUGUAGUC
rnacentral:rRNA from 1 species